rnacentral:lncRNA from 1 species
UCUCACAAUCUCCCCCUUGAUGAAAACAUUGGCAACACCAUUUAAAUAAUGAACAUUGGCAUUUACAUCCACCAAAUUAUUUUUAAAUCAAUCGCAAAGUGAAAAAAUAAAAAUAAAAAGAUCAUAUAAAAAGAUCCAAAAAGAAGAAAUGAUUUGAAAUUAUCUCCCCCUUUCUUUUCUCUCAAAAAAAUCACUCAUGUGAACAUGCAAUGGAUAAAACUCUUUCUCCCCCUUUGACAAUGGAUUCAUCAAGAACAUAAAAGACAGCAAAAGAAGGCUGAACACGACACUAAAAAUGACAACUCCCCCUCAACAAAUGUUAUGAUAUGAGGAAAAUGCAAAGCUUCAAGAGUACAACAGUCAGAGUAAAAAGAUGCUCUAGUUGGUGUUGUCAUGUGUGUAGCAACAAGUACAAGCCAUAGCAAAUGCUCAAAUUGAUCAACUGAAAAAUAUGAUACUUAAGCAUUUUGAUUUAGUUUUAAGUAAUUCAAAGAGAUGUUCACCAAUGAUUGUAGCACAUAGCAAGUAUAACCAGGAGAUCAAACUAGUGCUAACACAUGCAUACAAAAGUGAACUACCCCAUAUAACAGUCAUACAUCAUGUCUCAAAGACUCACUUAAUACUUGUGGUUUUCAAAGUUUUAUCAGAGUUUGCAGCGGUUCACAAGUAUUAGUUAGAACAUGUGUAUGCGAGUGGUUAUCCAAACUGUCCACCAA